GGUAUCAAGGUGGCUUUCUCACCAGAUCUCCAAACCUGCUCAACUGGGUCUUCUCAAUACGGAGUUCCAGGGUUUGUGCCCUUUCUCACUGAAAAAAAAAGGUCUUCAGAAAAGACGACUUUGCCUGAGCCGAAACCUGCCGUUUUUAUUCUGUCAUCUGCCGCAAACAAAAGGAGGGGAGCGAGCGGCGGAGACCGAGAAAGACAGGAGGGAUUUAUCCCGGCAGGUUUGUGUUUCUGAAACGACCCCUGUGUUUUCUGUCUCAGCCCUUCACGGCUGGCGAGGCGGCGAGCAGAUGUGGAGAGUUGUCUAAACCCGUCUGAUCUUAACUUAAGGAACAUAUAAUGAAUUCCAAAGGCUGAAAAAGUAAUAUGACACAAAGGGAUCAUAAAUAGCAGGAUGAGGCCUGUAAUAAGCCAAAAGGGGUUCAACGGAUAAUAACCCUGAGUAGGAGAUGUGCAGACUGAGGCCUAUAGGUUUCUCUUUUGCUCACUCGGGAUCUCUAAUCCCAAGCUUUGAGCAGGAGUCGGGGGUGGGGGUGGGGGGGUUGAAGUUAGUGUAAGAUGCAUUAGUGUCUCCGACACAUGUGUGCUCUAAUCCCUACUCCCCAGCUUUUUCUGAACUGCUUUUGUAUUUCAUUUUUUCCCCCCACUGAUCUGGUCUCUUCUCCCCGCCCACCAUCCUUUUUACCCUCCACGGCUGCCCUCCAUCCUCCCGUCCGUUCGCCAUUCGUCUUUCUCUGUUGACCAUUAAAUCCCGACGGGGCAGGCCGAGUGACAGGCUCCAUUCAGCGGUGUGCUGGGGGUGACAGCUGGUGAGAGGCCUGUGUGAAAGAGCAUUGCCCCACUGAUGCGUCCGCCACCCCUCCUCUUACCGUAAAAACACACGGCCAAGACAGGACUGGAGGUCUGGGAUGCAGCUGAGCCAAUGUCAGCCCCCUUUUAUCCAAAAGUCACCUGACUGUAUGGAUUCUGUCUCAAGACAAAUACAAGAUAUGUUUCCACGUUACAAUGUUAGAUUCCACACAGAAAAAAAAAAACUGACUUCAGGUGUUUUUUGACAAGUUAGAAACACAUUAGAGAUCUCUAACGUUUUUUUGUCAAUUUUCUCAUGUUGCCUUCGCUUGGCAUCAUGCUGCAUCAUGGCCCCAACAGGGAUUCAGCAGAUUCUGAAAUGGAUGGAUGGAUAGAUAGAUGUAGCUAUUACCCAUUGUGGUUAAUCGUUAAAUCAAAAAACACAUAGUCUAUGUACAUAGGCACCUCUCUAACACAUUAUAUUUAUAGCAAAAAA